rnacentral:rRNA from 1 species
GAUGAACGCUGGCGGCGUGCCUAAUACAUGCAAGUCGAGCGAACGGACGAGAAGCUUGCUUUUCUGAUGUUAGCGGCGGACGGGUGAGUAACACGUGGAUAACCUACCUAUAAGACUGGGAUAACUUCGGGAAACCGGAGCUAAUACCGGAUAAUAUUUUGAACCGCAUGGUUCAAAAGUGAAAGACGGUCUUGCUGUCACUUAUAGAUGGAUCCGCGCUGCAUUAGCUAGUUGGUAAGGUAACGGCUUACCAAGGCAACGAUGCAUAGCCGCCCUGAGAGGGUGAUCGGCCACACUGGAACUGAGACACGGUCCAGACUCCUACGGGAGGCAGCAGUAGGGAAUCUUCCGCAAUGGGCGAAAGCCUGACGGAGCAACGCCGCGUGAGUGAUGAAGGUCUUCGGAUCGUAAAACUCUGUUAUUAGGGAAGAACAUAUGUGUAAGUAACUGUGCACAUCUUGACGGUACCUAAUCAGAAAGCCACGGCUAACUACGUG